rnacentral:lncRNA from 1 species
CCGAAGCCGCUAAUUCAAUGGCGGUGCUUUUUAAUUCGAAGCUAUCGUCGUUGAUUGAUUCACUAGGAAAUGAGUAUUCGGAUGCUAAGUUUGUGUAUUUGGAUGUCUACACUCCGUUUCUUGCGCUCAUUCAAAACCCUGCUGAAUACGGUAAUUUUCAUUUCUUUUAAUUCCCAUUUUGAUACAUUUAUUUUUCAAUUUCAAACCAUUGUGGAUCUCUGUUUGCGAAGUGUGUUAUAUGAAUGAUAUGUGUACAGGGUUUGAAGAGGCAACAAAAGGAUGCUGUGGAACAGGAUCCAUAGAGGUCAGCGUUUUAUGCAAUCCUUUAUCUUCAAAACUAUCAUGUCCCAGUCCUGAUAAAUAUAUCUUCUGGGAUAGUUACCACCCUACUGGCAAUGCUUACAAGGCUCUCACUUCUCGCAUCUUAAAAGAUUCCAUUCCUAAAUUUUUCUGAUAUUCUUUUUCUUACUUUCUCAAUCACACAUCUCCAUGGAUAUAAACACAUGUAACUCAAUCAAAAAUCAAUAUAUAUAUAUGUUCCACAUAUAUAGAUAUAUUUGAGAUCAAACACACAUUUUAGGCAGGUUUUCAAUAUCAAUUCACAUCUCUAGUAUCAAUUAGGAAUGUCGGUAAAACAUCAAACAUUUUGUACACCUUAGAUUACAUCGUAUUAACUUAAGGUUUUGAGUCAAUACAUGAUUUGAUAUAGUAGCCGAUUUUGUGUAAAGCUCUUGAUCGAAAAAGUAUAGAAUAUGAUUUAAUUAAGAAGGGUGACUUUAAACAAGCAGUCAUCGAGUAGGAUCGGAGUAUGUUGAAUUUCUCACAUUAAAAAAACCAAAGAACUUCGAACAAUCACCUCCUAGUGUUCAUAACUUUGUUUGGAGUAAAAAUGGCUCAAUUAUUGAUUUAAAUGAUAUUUAUAAAUUCCAUAACUUGUGUAAUAUAUGGGUUGACAUCAAUGAUUUUAUGAAUGUCGUAUGAAUUGAUAUAUAUUAAUUAAUAUUGACAAAGAUAUUUUAGAGUUGAUGGCUUUCAAUUAAGGACGGAGUUAUUUAAGGGCGGACACAUACUCAUUAAAAUUAGGUUUAAUAUCAGAAGUGGAUGUUGGUUGGAGUGGUCACGGGAGUUAGUAGUUGUUGCCUUUUGUUAUUUUCAAAUGUUCCAUAUUCUUUCAAUUUAAUUGUUUCAACUUUACAAUAUAUUUGUAUAUAUAAUUUUUUUUAAACUUAAAAAUACCCUUUGUCUCUAGAUUUUAGGUUUUAAAGCUAAGUUGACAAUAGAAGAAGUAGAAGUGUGAGAGAUUUCUUAAGUUUUUUUUUAACUACAUAAGAGACUAAAUUGAAAUUGAGGUAAAAACUAAAGAUUUUACAAAAUAUUUUGAAAUCUAAUGCUUAGUUUAUUAUACUUAAUAUAAAUAUUACAAGUUAAUACACUUGAAUUGAAUUUAUUAAGCCAAAGGGAUGCUAACACAAUUUACAUAGUGACCAAGAGUAAGCCAGAGAGAGGUGGAGUAUGGUGUGGAGUUGAGGAUGAGGAGUGCACCAGUGUUUUGAGAUUUAUAAUAACUCUAAUACUUAAUUAGCAAGCAAUUUUGUGAGCCAAACGUACCCUAGACUAUUCCACUUCUGGAUAAUCUUUGAACCAAAUAUGUUUUAAGGUUUUAGUCUCUUCACUCUUAUAUUGUAUAGAAAAAAACUGCAAAAGAAAAAGAAGUUUAAUAAGUCAACUAUGUUUCAAUUUUAUCAAAUAAAUAAAUGAAGUUAAAAAAAGUUUAAUAAAUCAUGUCUUUCUCACUUCCCUUGAUAUGAUCUCGAUCUUCACUCCCUUCCCCCUCUCUUUUUUUCCUAAACAUUAUGUGUUCGAAGAGACAUAAACCACAAAUCUCUAAAUCCUAUAUCAGUUCAUCCAUUUUGAGUCUUUUUCCUUCAUUAUCUUCCGUAAUGUAUAUAUUUCUUUUUCUUCUAAAAGUUAAAAAAGAUACAUAAAUCUUUAGAAGUAAUUGCUCAACUUUUAUCUGGGCUAAUGGGGCAUACCAAAAGGUCUCGUUUUCCGCAAAUUGCAUAGGCCACUUUCUCCACCACCCCAGAAGUCCAUCUCGAGGGACACCUUCAUUUAAAAUGUCGAAAAUGAUUCCACACUUGUAAAUAUAACCACCAUAAUCUAUUAUAUUCUUCUCAAAAUUGUUCUCUAUUAUAAUUUUUUUAAUUUUUAAAUAUGAAUAUAUAUAUGUAUGAAAAAACAAUAUGAUGAAUAUAUAUUUGUUAAAUUAAAUAUCAAUGUAUAUUAAAUUUUAUCCCCGAGGUCUUUCUUCAAAAAAAAAAAAAAAAAACAACAACCAUAAUUUUCAAAGUUUAUGUUGAAUUGAAUUUCUACUAAUGCAGUCAUUAAUUUUAACAAACACCAACCUAACCAACUUUAAAAAUACACUAAUUUCUAUAUAAAUAAAUAAAAAUAAACCUAGUUCACAUCCCUUGUCAAAUAAUGACCAUUUAAUAAAGAAAAACACAAGGCUUUUCUAGAUGAAAAAUGAUGUAAACGUAAAAAAUAACAAAAUUAUGAUUGAGCAAGUAUGAAAAAAAAAAGUGUCGCACUGGUCAAUUCUAUAAAGAUUGAAAAUGACAGAUUUUCUGAAACGUAGAGGCUAGAAACUUAAAGGAGUAUUCUUUAAGUUGCCUCAAACAAUCUGUUUUUCCAUUUAAAUUAUAUAUAUAAAAAAAGGCUCGGAAAAGAUAGAUAUAAAAACAAUGUAAGAGUGAUUUUAAACUGAAACCGUCCCAAAUAUAACAAUAAUUUUUUUCUAUAUAAAUAUACUAAAAUUUGUAAAAAAUUAUAAAUACAGCCAAAUAAAUAUACCUUAGAGUUAGACUUCAAUAUCUAUAGACUCUCACAUUAUUGAUGGUAUAUUAUACAAGUUUAUUUGUCGAACAUAUAUUUUAGUAUACUUACCAUUUAAAAAAAAUGUUUUGAUUAUUUUUUAAAAAUUGGUACGUGUUUUUUUUCAUAGAUUUUUUAAAAAUAUUUUAAUUAGAUUAGAAUUUGAAAAUAAUUUUAGAUAUGAUGGGGAAGACCUAAUUUGUUGGUUGGAUGUUAGAAUUUAGUAUGAGUAAUUGAGUGAUUAAUUAGGAAUAAAAUUGCUUUUGAUUGAAGGGUUUUCCAAUGUGGUGUGUGUGAGUUUAAAGGCAAGCAAAAAUCAAAUUAAACUAAUAACGACGAAACAAAGCUGAGUUGGAAGGUCACGAGUCCCACACCAGAAUGGCCGUUACUACGUCGUUUUGAGGUCUUUGGCAGAUUGAUUAAUUAAUUAAAAAGAAAGAAAAAAAUUAAAUACGAAAAUAAAGUAUUUUCGCGGGAAUGGCAAUGUUGCAAUUUGAAACAUACGAAGGGCUUUUCCGUUGGUUACGCACAAAGAUGGUUGCUUACAUGACUCUAAUGGCGUGCGUGUGGGGAGAUCACCUAUGUAAAAAAGCUAAUCAAUUCACGAUAAACUGUGCAUGCCGAUUGUGGAGGUACAAGAUUUCCAACGAAGAUCAUUACUAUUAAAUGGUUUUCAGCAAUGUAAGUAUAUAUCCAAAGCUUUUGUUGCUUUUUCACUGCAGAAUCUGUUAUGUUUUUUGAAAUAGUUGAGUUUUUCUUUUCCGGCAUGCUCUUUUUCCAACUUUUCGUCUUCUGCAUUUUGUGCUUCGGAUGCAAAUUUUAAGUUCAGUUGAAGUUAUGUUAUUGUUAUUAUUGUAAGGCUAAGGCGACUAGAACUGUAUUCUAUGAUUCUAUCUGUUAUUCUAAUUUAAAUUUUAGUGUGUUCUGCAUUUUAUGCUUUGGAUGCAAUUUCAAGUUCAUUUCAAGUUAUGUUGUCGUUAUUACUGUAAGGUGAUCUGACCUAUAUUCUUUGAUUCUAUUUCUUAUUGUAAUAUCAUUUCCAGAUAUUAAUAGAAAAUUACUUGUGUUAUCUUUUCUGUUUCUCGUCGUUUCCUGAAAAGUUCGUUGAAAACUUAAAAAACAAUCACAAACAUACCCGAAAAUUUUCGUAUCGUUUUGAUAUUGAUAUUUCUCAAAAUAUAUGUGUGUGGUUGUACAUGUACAUGCGUAUUUUUCUUCUUCUGUGAAGUUCCAACUUGUAAUUAUCUGGAUAAUCUUGAGUACAGCUGAAAAGUGCGUGCCGGAGGCUUGAGCUUAUAAAAGUCAGAGAUCUUCAAUCAAAUAAAUGAAGAUUGGUGAAUUGUCUGGUAUAAUCAAGAAUUGUUUCUCAAAGAUUCCACAGUCCAAUUUUUAUUGAUUAGGAAAGGGGAAUUUGGAUUUGGUGACUUUCUUAGUGAGCAAUGGAAAUCCCAAGGGGUCAUGGACAGUGGAUUUUCUAAGCACAUUUCGAUAUAAGUAUGUCUUCGUGGGAUAGUCUUGGGGACGUUGCCGGUGUGGCCCAGCUGACGGGUAUCAAUGCAGUUCAACUAAUUUCAAUGAUUGUAAAAGCAGCAAACACCGCAAGGAUGCACAAGAAGAACUGCAAGCAGUUUGCACAGCAUCUCAAGUUGAUCGGGAACUUAUUGGAUCAACUAAAGAUCUCAGAGAUGAAGAAAUAUCCUGAGACUCGCGAGCCUCUAGAGCAGCUGGAGGAUGCCUUAAGAAAAUCAUAUAUUUUGAUCAAUAGUUGCCAGGAUCGUAGCUAUCUCUAUUUGUUGGCUAUGGGAUGGAAUGUUGUUUAUCAAUUCAGGAAGGCGCAAAGUGAAAUCGAUAGAUACCUAAGGCUUGUCCCUCUGAUUAAUCUGGUGGACAAUGCUCGAGUCAGAGUAAUAAUUCACUUUCUCUUGCUGUAAUUUUGCCUCUCUCUUUUGUUGGUUUUACAAAUUUAUUGCUGUUUAAUUUGUUUUGUUAACUGACAAAUGCAUAUCGUCAAGUUAUUUCCUAUUAAAACGAAAAAAGGAUCAUUUGGUGUCUUCAGUGUGUCUUCAGUACCUAUCCUUUUAAUAUAAAUCAGUCUUCUUCUUGGAAGUAAAAGUUAAGAAUGGUUCCUAGUAGUUUGAUUUGGCGCUUGUGCUUAUUAACUCGAAUAAGGUCGUUUUUUCUAUAUUUUUUUUCUCAGGAGAGGCUGGAUGAUAUAGAAAAGCAUCAAUGUGAGUAUACAUUUGAGGAGGAUGAUAGAAGAAUCCAAGACGUGAUCCUCAAACCAGAAUCUAUCAAGAACGAUGCUUCGACCAUAUUGAAAAAAACUCUUUCUCGUUCAUACCCAAAGUUGGGGCUCCAUGAUGCGCUUCAAAAGGAAAAUGAAAAACUUCAACUUGAGCUGCAAAUAUCUCAAUCUAAUAUGGAUGUUGGGCAAUGCCAAAUAAUUGAACGAUUAUUUGAUAUCACAGAAGCCUUAUCUGCAAAUUAUUUUAUAGAAAAAGAUUUACAAAGAGGCAUUCCAACACAACAUGACUACAAUUAUUCUGAUACUAAUGGUGAGACUACUCAUGCGUAUGUUGGAAAUUUUCACAAGAAUAGAGAUGGCAUUAUGACAAGGUAGGUUUGUCUUUGUUUAAUGUCACAUGUUCUAGCGGUCUUGCAUAUAUUGUUAGGACAAACAUAACUCAUUGAUAAAUAUUGUCACUUUAGAGAUGACUACAUGUUAUGAUAGUAACUCAUCCUUUGUUUUUCGUUUCACCCAAAAUAUUUUAUACCACUGGAGAUGAUGUUUCUUACCUAUGUGCUCACGAUUUUCUUCCCUUUCAUUGAUAAUGUUGCACAUGGGUUGCACUUGCUAGAAGUUUGUUCAAUUUAUUACCAGAGCACACACCCAUACUGAAAUUCAGUUGAGGAAAUCAAAGAGAUAUCUUCUAUCUUCAAUCAAAUUACAUAAUUUGAGUCGUGUUUACCAAUUUUAGGUUGUUCAUUUAAAAUUCAAGAGCCAAUCUCCUAUCUGGUGCCUAUUUUUCAUAUUUUUGACCUUGUAAACUCUUCUAUUUCCAUCAAGUUUUGAAUGCUUUGAUAAGUCAACUAAUGUACAUUAUCUCUGCCAGUGAAAUUCUACUUCACGAUGUCAUUUAUUCUUGGCAUAUUGAAUAGCUUGAAAGUCGUUCAUAUGGUGGAUUCUUUUUCUUCUUUUUUCUUUCUACCCUUUCAGAAAGGGAUCAUCAGUUUCAUCAAGACAUGAUCUGCUAUCCAGCAACUGCCAACAUGAAGAAUGGCAUGCUGAUUUGUUUGGUUGUUGUUCACAACCUUAUCUUUGUACGUUCAUCCCACUUUUGGCUUGCCCUUGUGAUAGGAGUGAAGAGCAUUCUUUCUUUAGUAUAAAUUGUAUAAUUCGUUGCGGUGGUGCUUAUGUUUUGUUUCUUAUUCCAAGUAUUUUUGUACAUUUACCAGGUAUGAAGACAUUUUUCUGCCCUUGUUGGACAUUGUCAAAGGUUGCUUCUGUUGCUACCAACAGGCAUGUGUGUAAGUAAUUACUGAAUGUCUAUUUUAAACUCGGGCAGUCUUCGUAAUGAUGAUUUAGAUAACAUGAUUCAAUAGACUGUCGGAGAUAAUCUCAUGAUUUGUGGAUUUAUAUGGAACCAUCUCACAAAAUGUAGAAUAUCUCAAAGAAUGUUCCUCUUGCUUUCAUCUUCUCUCAACACCAUGGUGAUAUUAAAUAAAUUACAUGCCUUGUAACAUUACAAAGCUCAAAAAAAGAAAGGGGAAAAAAACUUACAUUUCCUAUGAUUAUCAGCUUCAGCAGAUGCAUGUAACGAGUUGAUGGCAUAUUCUUUGGUGUUCUCAUGCUGUUGUUACACUUGCUGUUUCCGAAGAAAACUCCGGAGUAAGUUAAAUAUCAAGGUAACCUAAAUUCUAAUUUAACUUGUAAAUUGGGAUUUCCUUCUUCAAUUUAACUGUUAAGUCCACACCACCCACCAUCCGCCCUUCCAUGAAAGAAAUAAGAAUAGGUUUCAAUUUACAAGUUCAACUAUUAUAUGCCUCCUUUGCAAGCUUAGGUGUUAUUAUCCCAUAGAAAGGCCACUGACAAAUGAUUGCUUCUUGAGCUCAUGGCCUAGCAGCCCAUAGUUGCUAGCCACAAGUAUUAAAUUACUUGGAUGCUUUGGGUGACUAUCAUCAUGACAGCUCUUCUUAUUCUACCCUGUAUCUAUAUAUCUAUUUGGUGUUAGAGUCUACUUUCUACUCUAUAUUUAUUUGGUGUUAGAGUUUACUUUCUACGACGAUGCAUUCAACCUCUACAUUUUUAUAUAACAUAGUUUGUAACUUGUUCUUUUUAAGGACAUAUAUAAGCUUUUAUUUCCAAACCGAAUUGAUGAUGUACAUCUUUUGCUUCUUCCUCACCUUCUUUGCAGGGUGGACUUAUUGAUGAUUUUCUUUCUCACUUCUUGUGUUGUUGCUGUGCACUUGUUCAAGAAUGGCGGGAAGUUGAAAUGCGUUGUGGUAUGUAUUUACAAUUUUUCCAUUUCUAUUUUUUCGUUUAAAAAUUUAUUUCGAUCUCCAACUCCAACCUUAGACAAAGAUUUGUACAAGUUAUAACUACUGAACUUUAUAUUACAUUUACCAAAUUUACAUCUUAACACAUAGAUUUAUAUGAAAAAUAAGAGCCUAUCUGAAAUAUGUUCACCAUACAUCCGCUGACAUGUGGAUGUCCGUAUAAUAUGGAAAGACCUUCAUGUUGGUACAAAUACUGGUUGAAAGACCUUCCCAUAUAUUUGAUUCAAAAUAUAACUUGCAGGUCCAGAGAACACAAAAACGAUCCCUCCACCAUUGCAAUACAUGGAAUCUUAAGAGGUAACCCAAAACAUAUUCUAGUCCCCUUGGAAAGUUGAUAUACUUGAUUAACCUGGACGCUUCCAUGUAAAUUGUAAAAUAAACAUUGCUUGGUGUCGUUGUAAUUGAUUAACCCGGUGUAAGGUUGACCCUCUUUCUUUUCUUCUCUAUUCACUGUAUAUAGCGUUAUAAAUACUACCCAAUAGUGAACAUUUCAUUGUGUAUAAAAUAGAAAGAAGCACAUGUAGACUGUAUACUAGAGGUUCAUGGUUCAUGGAAAGAUUUGAACUCUAUAUUGUGAAUCUUAAGUGUGCAAGGUUUGGUGAAUAAAAAGCAAAUUACUACUACAAUUGUUCCUUUGAUUCAUGUGAAUUGAAUUAGCAAGAGCCACAUUCAUUUGAUUCAUCUUGCUCAGAGUAGUCUCCCUUCAGACUGCCAUAGAGUUUUGUGCAGAAGUAGCAAUUGGCUCUACAACUAGGCUGCUCUCUAAAACAUGUUUUCAGGAAACUUGCACUUUCUUCACAUCAAACUGACCCAAAUGAAUAACAAGACUUGUACGAAUUAGAGUUUACGACACUCAAAUCAAUUUAGAGAGCUUGAUGACAGUUUGAGAAUUUUAGUUCUCUUCAUUUCAUGAUGAUCAAAAUGAGAUACAUCGAGAACAAUUGCUCGACAAAAUUGCCUAUGAAUUCAGAUGAAGAAUAAAUGCAAUAACUAUAAUUGUUCCAAUUUCACUACAUAUGCAGCUAGGCUGAGAAGACAAAGCUUUGAACAUAAAUUUGCCGCAUAGCACAACGUCAUGAGCUGAAGAGCAGGGAAAACAAACCUUUUCUUUGUGCUGUUCAGCUACCAUAUGAAGUUAAAAGCAUAACUCUCCAGUAUCAUGUGCUCAUUUUUUUGGGUAGCAGUAAUCUGUUACCGUCUCGACUUGUUCCAGAGAUCGCUUUAGUCUGUGAGUCUAGCUUUCCGAUCAUUUUUUUCUUAUUACAGAAACAAACCCCGAGUUCUGAUCAAUAAGCAACAAGAUUGAAUGAAUACCCUGCAGCAAGCUUGACAAUAGACUCACUUCACUAGCAAGUUAAUGGAUCACUGUGUUUGUCUCCUUCAUCCUCUCUUGCAGAUGAUUUCCUAGUUUUAAACUGUGAACAAUCUCUUUCAGGUCUACUAGUCUACAACCCGACAUCGUUCCAAGUCUUUUUUCUUUCAUUAAUAGUUUGAUUCUAGAAACAUCCUCCCAUCUCCCAGCUACAGCAUAAAUAUUCAAAAGCAAUCGAUAGUAUGAGUCAUUCUUAGGUUCCAUGUCAAUCAAAUAUUUUGCUAUCUGUUCUCCCAAAGAGACAUCCCCCACAAAACGACAUGUAGUGAGCAAGUCAAUCCAUACAACUGAUUCUGAUGAAAAGUCCUCGUUAUCCUCAGGCAUGUUCCUUAGUAUUUCCACAGCCUGCUCUAUCAACCCUACUGCAACGUAAACAUUGGCUAAACACCAGUAGUGGCCAAAAUUUGGUCUCACAAGAAAUACAUUGAUCAUCUCGUCGAAGUAAUUCUCAGCGUCUUUCAGCAGUCCUGCUCGGGCACAGGCACAUAGAACGCCAAUAAAUGUAAUUUGGUCUGGGAAAACUUUUCGCUUACCUUCAUCUUGCUUGAAUUUCUUGCCAUUGCCAGUUUCCUCAUUUAUUUCUCUUAAUUCGCCAACCAUUUCCUCAAACAGCUCAAGUCCAUCUUUAGGAUUCCCAUGUAGAGAAUGCCCCAAAAUCAUUGCAUUCCAGGUAACCAAAUUUCGAAUCAUCAACCUGUCGAAAACUCUACGUGCAACCGACACUCUGUGGCAUUUGCUAUACAUGUCAACCAAAGCGGUGUUGAUAAAUACGCAAAACUUCAUCGAAGCACGGUACAUAAAACCAUGAACCGAUCUUCCUUCAUUCAGCCUUGCCGACCGACUACAAGCACUAAGAACAUUCACCAUUGUUGUAUUGUUCCCUCUGAUUCCCACAUUCACCAUAUUCCUAAACAACUUCAUUGCACAGCCCGGAUUCCCACCUCUCAAGUACUCACUAAUCAUCAAAUUCCAAGAUACAACAUUUCUCUCAGGCAUUACAUCGAACAUGUCAUGCGCAGUAUACAAAUCGCCAACUCUUGCAUAAGCAGUAACAAUUGAGUUCCAAGAUACCAAAUCCUGUGUGGACAUUUCGUCGAACACCUUCCGACCAAGCUCAAUAUGCUUACAACAGCCAUACAUAUGAAUCAAACUAUUUCCCAAAACCAUCACAGAGUCAACCCCAUUCUUGAAAGCCUGUCCAUGGCACUUACGCCCAGAAGCCCCACAGCCAAAACUCGCACAAGCGGAAAAAAGUGAAAGAAAAGUGUAGGAAUCUGGCCGAAGUCCAUUACCAAGCCAUUCAAAAUACACAAAUACAGCCUCUAGAGGAACUGUGCUAAGAGAAUAAGCCUUGAUUACUCUAUUAACACAGAAGGUAUUUGGAACUUUGAUAUGUCUGAAGAUCAAAACAGUAUAAACGAUGUCACCGAACUCCGAGGCCUGCAAUAAAACUCUGUUGGCCCAAAAAUGGUCGUUAAAAAGACCAGAGGUAAUCAAAUGGCCAUGGAAUUGAAAUAAUUCUCUUACGCUCUGACAUGAUUGAAGAAGCGAGUGGCUUUGGUUAUGUCUAGGAGGAUUUGUAGUAUCGGGUGAAUGAACUGGUUCUGGAAAAGAGGAGAAUGGAGAGGAAGAUCGAUCAACGGAUUUGAAUGGCAGAGGGAGGGGGAAGUGUGUGAAACGAAAGAGUAGUCGAGUGGAAAUCCUUGCCAUUCACUUGCGGUACGACAUCGAUUUACUUUCACUGAAUCCUUCUUCUUCUUAGUCUUCUUCCACUUAGUUUCCGCCAUUAACGCAUAUUCGUCGUGGGUUUGCAGGUUAAGAGUUGCCCUAUGGAGGCGAUGCGAUGCCAAAUAUAUUGUUUUAAACGGCGUUUAACGGUGACGACGUACCGAAGAGAAAGUGGUGAAGCAAUAGGAGAGAUUUAUUUUUAAUGAAAAAAUGCUUAUCAAAUUUUUUUUCCAAAGUUAGGACGUUCAUCCUUUUAACAUUGAAUUUCCAUUUUUAUUUUAAGCUCUAAUGCUCAUUUCAAUUACCGAAGAGAGCUCAUGCAUCUUAUACCUAUCCUGAAUUUUUUCAAUCGAACCUCUCUCGACAAUAUUUAGAUCAACAUAUAUAUUAUUUGAACUAAGAAAAAUAUAAGAAAGAGGACAUAUCUUAGUAGAAAUGGACAACACUCAUGUGUUAGAGGGAUAUUAGUCUCCCAUAAAAGUAGAGUCACACUCCAUAUGAUUCUCAUGGUAGAUUAUAGAUAAAUAUUGUCAAUUAUGUAGUAAAAUUGUUGAGUUUGAAAACUUACCAAACAAAAUAUUAAUCAUUAAAUUAAGAAAUCCAUUUUCAAGGUCCAAAACUUUUGUCCAACUUUUUAUAAAUCAAGAGUUUUGACUAUUUUGAUUAUCUCCCCAUGACCAUGUCAUCUUGCAAAAUUAUCCUUAUUUCUCUAUCUUUUUCUUUCAGUGUGGCCAACUUUAACGAAAUCAACAAUAUGUGACGAUUUGACCAAAUCAUCUUCUUCAUCUUUACUCCAUUUAUUACUUUUUGAGGGACAGUAGGCUUGCAAGGUUGAGACCAUAGGAGAAAAGAAGAGAAGAAAGCAAUUUGUGAGAUAGCGAUCCAAUAAACGAGACCAAAAGAGCCCAAAAUGUCCAAUAUACAUGAAAAUAUAAUUUUCUCAAUACAUUAUUUAUAUAUAUGAUUUUUUAAAAAUAGUAAAUUUUAUCAAAUAUUUACAACUUCGAUUAUAAUUAUUGAUAUGCUAUAGUGAUAGUGAUAGAAACCAUCUAAAUUCUGAAUUCUAUUAUAGCUACUUAACAAAAUUCCCCUUUAAUGAGUUUUUACUAUAAUAAAAAAUAUAAACUAUUUAUACAAGAAAAAAACUAAUUAUUUUCAUUUUGACAAUUACUGAAUUUUAAUUGUAAUUUUGUGGGAGGUGCACUUAAUGAUGGUAUAGAUAGGAUACAUACCCUCUAAUAGUAAUACGGAGUCUUCAGUCUUCGGCUGUGUAUUUAAAAAGCCUUUGGAAGAAGAAAUCCAGACUGUGGAAAGGUUGAAUACAACUCCUUCAAAACCUCUCCACUUUCUUCCGACUUCAUUCUAAAAUGGUGAGAAUAAC